GAAAAAGCCCUGCGGAGCCUCUGGGUCCUAAGCAACACAGUGUAAACACUGCUGCUCUAGAACUUCAGAGAAGAAUGAAAGUAAUCUGCUGGUCAGAUGCAGAGUGUUGGGCAGUGAAGGUUAUAAAGAACAGAUUUCAAAGAGAAGACAUGAACAUGCAAAGGGUCUAAGGUGAGAACAUGCUUGGUGUGUUCAACGAAUAUCAAGAAGGCCAGUGCGGCUGCAGCUGAAUGAGCAGAGUGGAAUAGUAGGAGAGGAGGUCAGGAUAGGAGCAGAGCACCUGGGUCCUUAAAAAACAUUGGAGCUGGAGUGAGCCACGUGAGUCCACAACUGGUGUGGCAUGAGCAGCAGAGUUGUUAUCUAAGGUCAGGCUGCCUGCACAUAUAGACCCUUUCCUGUGCUGCCUUAUUGCCAUUAAAUACAGCAUAUGACAAGAUUUUAUUAAUACUGUACUGUGGUCAACAUCUGUUAGUGAUAGUGAAAGUCAUCCUACACAAUAAUCCACCUCUCCCUUGACUCCCUCACACUAGCUGCGAAGGUAUUCAAAGCCCAUCUGAAAGACCACUGCAUCCUCUGUAGGUGUAAGAAUAGUCUGCUGUAAGGUCAGGAGAUGAGAUCAACUCCUCAACAGAAAAUGUUGUCUAACCAGGAACCAAGAUGGCCCUUCCCAGGAUGCUGAUGAACCACCAGCACAUUCUUUGAUUUUCCUCACCCUGAAAAUGAAACAAUCUCUGGGCCACAGGAAAUAACACAAGUUUUAGAAAAUCCCUGUGGUAUGAAAGAAAAACUUCAAGUAGAUCUUUUCUGAGUCCCAUGAAUGACGUAAAGGACGACAGAUGUUCAAAGACUCAGGGACUUCAACCAGAAGUCAGUGGUGGUGCCGGCACUGGGACAACUCCAUCUGAGGUUGCGUCACCACACUGCUGAUUUCCAAAGGUCUUCUUAUUGUUAAGCAGCAGGCAAAUUUCCAGAACACUUGGGGAAUUCACUUUAGAGGUGGUGGCAAUCUUUUUACCACUUCUGCGGCAAUCCUCAG